rnacentral:rRNA from 1 species
AGAGCAGGCCGGGCGGGUUUGGGUCAGUCGAGUGGGUUAAAAGGUCUAGUAUGUGUUCUCGGCGACGGGUAGGAGGAGGGGAUCUAGAGAGGCCGGCCGUCCGUCGGUACGGCAGCGGCUUACUGGGCGGGCGCCGCAACGGGGAGUGGGAGCUGGAGCUCCUGAAGUUCCCCCUAAAAAGGAAGCUGCGCGAGAAGCCCUCGGACCACCUACUCGAAGACGGCCUCAAGGUGCCCCUGCUACGCCGUCCCCAUGGGGGCGGCGGCGGCGGGGACGAGCCCCGGCGCGGUGGGCAAAAGGGGCGCCAGCUGCUCGAAGAGCCCGAGAAGUUCGUAAGGACGUUCCUUGAACAGCUGAACGCAGCAGUCUAACUAUUCUCCGAGGUUUUAGACUUCUUUCUCCACCGAUGUGUCCUGCGGUUCGUAGCGUUCUGUGAGCCCCUCGAACUCUUUCCACACCUGCCAAAUAAACUAUCGAAACGAUCCAACCUAAGAGCUUAGAGGUCACAGCCCGUUUGACGACGGUUUUAACCACUGGUAGAUGUCUCACGUCUUAGAGUCUCCCUUUGACGGUCAGUCUGCUAACUAGAGUAGUUCAUAAACUACCUUAAGUUGUCGUGUGGACCCCUGGAAUACCUUGAAAGAGGAAAUAAAAGGCUACUGUCGGCACAACGACUCCGACGAAGUUAACGUGUCUUUAACGCUAGCAAACGACUCCUCCUACAACCUUCCGUACCACAGUGCAGCCGUCAUCCAAGACGAUUACGUUCGGCACCAAACCUCCAACGUCAACGUUUAGAAGUUCUUAUAACGUUACUUGACCUCUUAUCUAAUAAUAGAGCCAAACUAUGACGUAGUGUCUCUGCUCUCAACAGAUGUUACCGUCUUACACGUUUUUAAAACAGCGUCAAGUUAGCCCCUUGGUCACGGUACGUUGUGAUACAACGUUGUGCUGGUUACAAGUAACUACACCUUUAAUACUUAUGACUAUAAGUUCAACAAGAACCACUGCUACCAGGGGUUCGACUGAGGUCAUCAUAUCGUCUCCCAGAGAGAUAGAACAUGUUCCUUUAACGACUAUGACACUCUUUUCUCCGUUGAUGUUAUUACCGACAGAAAGGAAGAGGCUUACUCCAGUACAGUUAAGAACACGUCGCUCACAAUCUUGUUUCCCAGUGUCGUUAAGAACUAUUUGAAAACUAUUCCGGAAGAGAACGAUCGAACGGAGGUUAUCUUCUUCCACCGGAAGAUGUAAUAGACUCUCAAGACAGUCAUCGUAUACUGUUCUGUUUUCUCGAACGGUUUCUCAACGUCAGAUAGCCGACACCCCUAAACCUAUAACUUCCAGAGUGACUCAGAUAUAUACAAAGGGUGUUUCUGCUCAUGUGCCUUAAGCUCGUACGUAGUGAGUCUGUCGAUAUAGUUAGUUUCUACCGACUUAAUUCUCGGCUCCGGUUCGUUGUUAGACUUAGUUGACCCAGUUAACCGGCACGUUUUCCUCGUAGGAACUUAUGGAGUGGGGUCGUCGACUAGAGUCAAUGACAUCACUGGCUUAAACAAGCAACCUUACUCCUUCGUUAUAGCUCUACGUGUGACAACAAAAGAGUCGGAUGAUGACAACGUCGAUUACAGUCUAGGUAUAAACGCACAAACGAACUAGUUCAGUCGGUUAUAAAUUGACAACCCGAACUGCCACGAUCUCUCUCAAACUUGCUCCGACGUCGAUACUCCCUAUCUAUACAAUAACCCUGUUCACAAUCAUCUUCCCAACGGCGCCGACGACGAAGACGACGUCUCCGCCGCCGACGACGACCACUCUCAUCGAAAUCUAGGAAGUACUAGCGACACGUCGCAACACGGUCAUCACAUCGAAUAGAAGUCGUCAUGAAGAGUUUAUGAUAUAGUGCAGAGGACGACGGACAGCUACCACGGGUAGGUAGACGAACACUUCUAUACCCUAGCCGUCAUAGACAACACCUCCGACGACGAGUAUUUCCUGACAAUGUUACGUAACUAUGUCAGUACACACUCCAACUUUCUAACAAUAGAAGUCUUGUCUUUCGUUGUCUAAUAGCCAGUGGUCUACUACCUCGACGUGGUCUAGUAGCCGGUUGUUUACGAACGUAUUCUUAACAUCGGAUGGAAAGAGCACAAGAGCUCCAACGUAAGUCGCGGGACCUUCCAGAUUUGUUUGUCAGGAAAAACUGACUUAACCCUUUGGCGAACGUGUUCCCAGACGAAUUAGUAACCGUCUUCAAGUGUAAAUCAGGCUCACCACCCGAUGCCAACUUUGCACUGUAAUGACUCAUACCACUCAAACAGGCAUCGAAGUUACGGGGAAGGUAUCUGCUCUUCAAACUUGACGAACCUUAGUACCGAUUACAGAAAUAACAACGAGGCCUUUCAGAUCGAAGGAACAAACUUCCUUGGGGGUCGUAGGCCUUCCUACGAAAUGCCAAGUAAGUUGAGGCCCUACUGAUGUUCUGUCGUUUUUAACGAAGCUACGAAUUGUCAUAUCACAGACUUAUUUUAAGUGAACUUCCAACUACUAACAGUUCGCCACCUUGCGAUACUUUACGACGUCCCAGUAGGGUUAGAUAAAACUGGUAGUCACAUCGGACAUAUUAACUCGAAGUUAUAAUACAAUUAAGAAAACCAAGGGAAACAAAUAGACAAAGAUUGAACAAGACGGAACGACUUAGAAUCAAAAUGUACACGCCCAGGUACUUUGGGAACAUCGUUUGACCUAUCUGUUCGUAAUAAAAACAGAUCAUUAUCGUAAUACAAACGCUUUACGGAUACAAUCAAAAUGGAGUCUGACCAGUGUCAGCUACCAGUUCGUAUUAAUCCAUAGCAUUGUAACAAAAAAAAAAAACUUUCUUGGCCACUCGGUGGCCGUAAGUAUAUAAUUCGUCCAUCUCUCGCCCUUUGUACAAGUACUAGUUCACUAGUACCCACCAAUGUUCUCCAACCAAAGCUUCUGGGACUUGUGGUCCCGACUCCUCCCUAUAGGACGACAGAUCGGACCUAGAGGAUUACCGCAACGGUCCGUAAACCGGGGACGAUCAAAGGUUGAGAUGUAGAGAAGAAUAGCGACACUAGUGUCUCGUCUAAACCGAACCGAGCACAGACUUUUAAGACAACAAAGAGAGGGAGGUCUACACGGUACACUGUUCCUUCUAGUAACAGAACUCGAAAAGAGACUCAGAACCAGAACUAACAACUUACUCCGAUGCGUACUACGUUUACCUCCUCCACGACACUAGACUCCCCCGCCGUUCCGCGACAUCGGACAGUGUAAGUAAGGUCCGGCUCUAGGAAACGGUAUAAAGGAAUGACUGGCCCGUGAGAGUUUUCUCUACAUGACUGCAGAGUUCUAAAGAACACGUUUCUCGCGUCUUCAUUGGUAAGAGGGUAAGAGACGCAACCUCAGCUAGCAACGUGGUUUCUGCCAAAAACUCGUUCUCGGU